rnacentral:rRNA from 1 species
UACGAAGGGGGCUAGCGUUGUUCGGAAUCACUGGGCGUAAAGCGCACGUAGGCGGAUUAGUAAGUCAGGGGUGAAAUCCCGGGGCUCAACCUCGGAACUGCCGUUGAUACUGCUGAUCUCGAGUCCGGAAGAGGUGAGUGGAAUUCCUAGUGUAGAGGUGAAAUUCGUAGAUAUUAGGAAGAACACCAGUGGCGAAGGCGGCUCACUGGGCCGGUACUGACGCUGAGGUGCGAAAGCGUGGGGAGCAAACAGG